GACGAACGCUGGCGGCGUGCUUAACACAUGCAAGUCGAACGGAAAGGCCCUGCUUUUGUGGGGUGCUCGAGUGGCGAACGGGUGAGUAACACGUGAGUAACCUGCCCUUGACUUUGGGAUAACUUCAGGAAACUGGGGCUAAUACCGGAUAGGAGCUCCUGCUGCAUGGGGGGGGUUGGAAAGUUUCGGCGGUUGGGGAUGGACUCGCGGCUUAUCAGCUUGUUGGUGGGGUAGUGGCUUACCAAGGCUUUGACGGGUAGCCGGCCUGAGAGGGUGACCGGCCACAUUGGGACUGAGAUACGGCCCAGACUCCUACGGGAGGCAGCAGUGGGGAAUAUUGCACAAUGGGCGGAAGCCUGAUGCAGCAACGCCGCGUGCGGGAUGACGGCCUUCGGGUUGUAAACCGCUUUCGCCUGUGACGAAGCGUGAGUGACGGUAAUGGGUAAAGAAGCACCGGCUAACUACGCG
rnacentral:rRNA from 1 species